rnacentral:rRNA from 1 species
CCUACGGGAGACAGCAGUGAGGAAUAUUGGUCAAUGGUCGGGAGACUGAACCAGCCAAGCCGCGUGAGGGAUGAAGGUACAGAGUAUCGUAAACCUCUUUUGUCAGGGAACAAAGGCGGGGACGUGUCCCCGGAUGAGUGUACCUGAAGAAAAAGCAUCGGCUAACUCCGUACCAGCAGCCGCGGUAAUACGGAGGAUGCGAGCGUUUUCCGGAUUUAUGGGGUUUAAAGGGUGCGCAGGCGGUCUGUUAAGUCAGCGGUCAAAGCCCGGGGCUCAACCCCGGCCCGCCGUUGAAACUGGCAGUCUCGAGUUGGAGAGAAGUAUGCGGAAUGCGCGGUGUAGCGGUGAAAUGCAUAGAUAUCGCGCAGAACUCCGAUUGCGAAGGCAGCAUGCCGGCUCCACACUGACGCUGAGGCACGAAAGCGUGGGUAUCGAACAGGAUUAGAUACCCCUGUAGUC